GGGGGGAGGGCUACCAUGCAGUCGAGCGGAUGAGAGGAGCUUGCUCCUCGAUUCAGCGGCGGACGGGUGAGUAAUGCCUAGGAAUCUGCCUAGUAGUGGGGGACAACGUUUCGAAAGGAACGCUAAUACCGCAUACGUCCUACGGGAGAAAGUGGGGGAUCUUCGGACCUCACGCUAUUGGAUGAGCCUAGGUCGGAUUAGCUAGUUGGUAGGGUAAAGGCCUACCAAGGCGACGAUCCGUAACUGGUCUGAGAGGAUGAUCAGUCACACUGGAACUGAGACACGGUCCAGACUCCUACGGGAGGCAGCAGUGGGGAAUAUUGGACAAUGGGCGAAAGCCUGAUCCAGCCAUGCCGCGUGUGUGAAGAAGGCCCUCGGGUCGUAAAGCACUUUAAGUUGGGAGGAAGGGCUCAUAGCGAAUACCUGUGAGUUUUGACGUUACCAACAGAAUAAGCACCGGCUAACUUCGUGCCAGCAGCCGCGGUAAUACGAAGGGUGCAAGCGUUAAUCGGAAUUACUGGGCGUAAAGCGCGCGUAGGUGGCUUGAUAAGUUGGAUGUGAAAUCCCCGGGCUCAACCUGGGAACUGCAUCCAAAACUGUCUGGCUAGAGUGCGGUAGAGGGUAGUGGAAUUUCCAGUGUAGCGGUGAAAUGCGUAGAUAUUGGAAGGAACACCAGUGGCGAAGGCGACUACCUGGACUGACACUGACACUGAGGUGCGAAAGCGUGGGGAGCAAACAGGAUUAGAUAC
rnacentral:rRNA from 1 species